rnacentral:rRNA from 1 species
GACGAACGCUGGCGGCGUGCUUAACACAUGCAAGUCGAGCGAUGAAAUCCCUUCGGGGAUGAAUUAGCGGCGGACGGGUGAGUAACACGUGGGUAACCUGCCUCCAAGAGGGGGAUAGCCUCCCGAAAGGGAGACUAAUACCGCAUAACAUUAGUUUUUCGCAUGGAGAACUAAUUAAAGGAGUAAUCCGCUUUGAGAUGGACCCGCGGCGCAUUAGCUAGUUGGUGAGCUAACGGCUCACCAAGGCGACGACGCGUAGCCGACCUGAGAGGGUGGUCGGCCACAUUGGAACUGAGAUACGGUCCAGACUCCGACGUGAGGCAGCAGUGGGGAAUAUUGCACAAUGGGCGAAAGCCUGAUGCAGCAACGCCGCGUGAGUGAUGAAGGCCUUCGGGUUGUAAAGCUCUGUCUUUUGGGACGAUAAUGACGGUACCAAAGGAGGAAGCCACGGCUAACUACGUGCCAGCAGCCGCCGUAA